ensembl:lncRNA
CUCCAAUCCUCCAAGGACCUCACUGCUUCUACCCUUCUGUCUCCAAUCCUCCAAGGACCUCACUGCUUCUACCCUUCUGUCUCCAAUCCUCCACUGACCUCACUGCUUCUACCCUUCUGUCUCCAAUCCUCCAAGGACCUCCCUGCUUCUACCCUUCUGUCUCCAAUCCUCCAAGGACCUCACUGCUUCUACCCUUCUGUCUCCAAUCCUCCAAGGACCUCCCUGCUUCUACCCUUCUGUCUCCAAUCCUCCAAGGACCUCACUGCUUCUACCCUUCUGUCUCCAAUCCUCCACUGACCUCACUGCUUCUACCCUUCUGUCUCCAAUCCUCCAAGGACCUCCCUGCUUCACUCCAGUCUCAGCCCUAUAGCUUCCCUCAGCUGCAGAAUAUCAACGUUUAAUUAAAAUAAUUAAAGAGAACAGCAAGCAGCAGCCUGUGAAGAUUUGGUCGUCUUUUUUUUUAUUGCUUUUGACAUUGAAUGACCUAUAACUGUACGUGCAUUAUUUGGAGAGAAAGAGGCCAUCCCAUCCUGUCUCCUUGGUGACGGUUUGGUGCACCCUGGCUCUCCGAAACCCAAACGUAAAACCAAGGCAACGGAUGCGACGUACAGAUAAGUAUUGUUCAAAUUAUGUUACCAAGCCUCGCACGCAGCGCAACACCCCCCCCCCAAAAAAAAGCGGUAGUAUAUAUAUUUGUUGUAGAUUUCUCAAGUGUGUUGUCAUGACGCCAAUCCCAAAAUGAUGUCAGCGAGAGAGGAGCAUUGUGGGAGAGGAAAGGCAGCAGCUGAAGAGAAAUGGCUCCAACGAUCCAGUCACUUUGGAUACGGUACUUCAGAUGCAAAAUGGAUAUUCGAGCCGAAACCUGACAAAGCUCGCCCGGUUUUGAUGGGAACCGGUAUAGACAAUGACCAGUGGCUGGGUCAGUGGGAUGUCUCUGUGCAACCAGGGAAGCUUAUCAAAUGACACUAAAAAUAAGUUCAACAACCAUCAAGUUUCAGGGGGAAUGGGCCAGGAUUUUCACAUUUGGUGGGCAUGCGUGUGCACGAGACGGGUUGGGCGCGUACAACGUCGUCUCUGACUUAAUUAUCCCUUUGUUUUGUUUUCUGUGGGGACAGUAAGGGACAGGAGUGACACUGAUGGUCAGAUACACAAUCCUGCUGUAAUAUUACUUUCAUACAUAUAUUUUUAGCCUCAUUUCUCAGUUUAACAUGUUGGUCAGAUAUUACAUGACAUUUUUAUGUUACAUCUGAACCCCUACUAAUGAGUUAUUUACAUACCAGCCAGAACACAGCUAUCCACCCAUCAUCGCUUCACACUGGCUUUAGGAGGCACCUCUAUAUCCUCUUGUGCCAUUUCCAAAUGUUCCAUGGUGAGAUCAAAUGGUUCACUUUUUAUAAAUAUAAAAAUAUUUUUAAUAUUGGUUUAAAAUUGUUAAUACACCAGUGUACUUUGCCUAAGAUUAUUUUCCGAUGAAUAAUUGUAAUGCAUUUUCUUACACUGUUGUUAUUGUGAUGGAUGGAAUUUUUAUGUGAGAUGCCCAAAAGAGACACAUUUUGCCUUUAAAAAAAAGUUGGUUUGAAUGUAGUUAUUUCACUAUAUCUUGUUGUCAUUUUAUUUAGAAUUGGAUCCAUUUUGCUAAAAUAUAUUCUAUAUUUGUUUGAUUCACGUUUGGAAGGAUGUAAAAUUGAUGAAUAUUUAGUUUUUUUUGAAAACAGAAACAUGUUUAAAAAAAAAUGGUCAUCAAAAAAGUGUUGGACUAUUGUUUAAAACACUGUAUGUUGCUAUAAUUUAGAUCAGGAAGUUUUAUAAAAUUCAUUUACAGUUUGAAAAUCAUAUUUUUUUUAACAUUAUAGCAGAAUAGCAAAGUAGUCUAACACAUUAUUCACAGCAUUGGGCAACGUUUCUCUUUCUGAAGUAAAAUAAAUGCCCUUUUUAUUGUCCCUUUUGUCCUCAUGUCUGCAUUUCAUAUUUUAUCAUAUAUUAUUAUAUAUUAUUGUUUAUUAUUGUUUAUUAUCAUAGCACUUCAGGAUAGAGUUGUUCUAGGUGCUUUGUAGAGACAAAACAACUGUUUUCCUGACUUUGUUCUUCUUGUUCUUCAUCAACAAUCAACAAUCAGAUGCAGAUGAUGUAUAGUUUUUUGAUGUAUAGUUUUUUUUUAUUUUUAAUUAAAUCCGUUUUACAUAUAUCUAAUCAUUUUUUUUCUUCUGUGUUAUACAAAUUCUCUACUACUAUCACAUGUUAAUGUUAUUAUUGCAAUGACUCAUUGAAAUGUUAAAAUGUGUUGAAUUUAUUAUUAAAACCAUCCAAUGGAAACUGGACAUCCCCAUUUUUACAUAGCGAAGACAUGGCCUGAUGGUGUUUGAGUAUAAAGGCGCUAAGGGCUACGUUUAAUUGGGUCUAUACAGAUUUAUACGGGCCGACAGGAAAUGUGAUUAUAUGAUGUAUGUUGUACAGAGAUAGUGC